rnacentral:rRNA from 1 species
UACAGAGGGCGCGAGCGUUGUCCGGAAUCACUGGGCGUAAAGGGCGCGUAGGCGGCCACGACAAGUCACUUGUGAAAUCUCCGGGCUUAACUCGGAAAGGUCAAGUGAUACUGUCGGGCUAGAGUACAGAAGGGGCAACUGGAAUUCUCGGUGUAGCGGUGAAAUGCGUAGAUAUCGAGAGGAACACCUGCGGCGAAGGCGGGUUGCUGGGCUGAUACUGACGCUGAUGCGCGAAAGCCAGGGGAGCGAACGGG